rnacentral:rRNA from 1 species
CCUACGGGAGGCAGCAGUGGGGAAUAUUGGACAAUGGGCGAAAGCCUGAUCCAGCAAUGCCGCGUGAGUGAUGAAGGCCUUCGGGUCGUAAAGCUCUUUUACCAGGGAUGAUAAUGACAGUACCUGGAGAAUAAGCUCCGGCUAACUCCGUGCCAGCAGCCGCGGUAAUACGGAGGGAGCUAGCGUUGUUCGGAAUUACUGGGCGUAAAGAGUACGUAGGCGGUUAUUCAAGUCAGAGGUGAAAGCCCGGGGCUCAACCCCGGAACUGCCUUUGAAACUAGAUAACUAGAGUCUUGGAGAGGUUAGUGGAAUUCCGAGUGUAGAGGUGAAAUUCGUAGAUAUUCGGAAGAACACCAGUGGCGAAGGCGACUAACUGGACAAGUACUGACGCUGAGGUACGAAAGCGUGGGGAGCAAACAGGAUUAGAUACCCUGGUAGUCCACGCCGUAAACGAUGAUAACCUAGUUGUUCGGUCACUUGGUGUACUAGAGUGACGCAGACUACGACAUUAAGUUAUCCGUCCGUCGGGUAGGUACGGUCGGUCGAAGAAUUAAAACUUAAAUUAAGUAAGUUAGUACGGACGUGAGACGUAGCCGAACGGACGACGACGACGGGAGGUAGG